CGCGCGAGCUUUGUCUCCAACCGCUUGGGAACUGACCAAUAGGAACGUUGGAUUAGGACUGACAGUUCCUGAAACCUCUCGGCAAUAGCUUUGUCACCCGACUCCCGCCCCCUCUCCCGAAGCUCCGAGACAGAUUCUUUCCACCAUGGCCAGACGCCCCCGGAACAGCAGGGCCUGGCACUUCGUCCUGAGUGCAGCCCGCCGAGACGCAGAUGCCCGGGCCGUGGCUCUAGCAGGCUCCACUAACUGGGGCUACGACUCUGAUGGGCAGCACAGCGACUCGGACUCCGACCCCGAGUACUCCACGCUGCCGCCAUCCAUCCCCAGUGCGGUGCCCGUGACCGGCGAGUCCUUCUGUGACUGUGCUGGGCAGAGCGAGGCCUCCUUCUGUAGCAGCCUGCACUCGGCCCACCGGGGCAGGGACUGCCGCUGCGGAGAGGAAGACGAGUGUGAGCGUGGGGCCCAGCCCCUGCUGGGACUGCACUGCGGGCGGGCCUGGGGGUGGGCAGGGCAGAGCCCCAUGGAGCUCUCAGGGCUGCCCCAGCCUGGGCCUCUCUUGCAGAUUUCGACUGGGUCUGGGAUGACUUAAAUAAGUCAUCAGCCACCCUGCUGAGCUGUGACAACCGUAAGGUCAGCUUCCACAUGGAGUACAGCUGCGGCACAGCGGCCAUCCGGGGCACCAAGGAGCUGGGGGAGGGCCAGCACUUCUGGGAG
rnacentral:lncRNA from 1 species